GACGUAGGGCGCGAGCGUUGUCCGGAUUUAUUGGGCGUAAAGAGCUCGUAGGCGGCUUGUCGCGUCGUUCGUGAAAACCUGCAGCUCAACUGCAGGCUUGCGGUCGAUACGGGCGAGGCUAGAGUUCGGUGAGGGGAGACUGGAAUUCCUGGUGUAGCGGUGAAAUGCGCAGAUAUCAGGAGGAACACCGGUGGCGAAAGCGGCUCUCUGGAACGGUAACUGACGCUGAGACGCGAAAGCGUGGGGAGCGAACAGG
rnacentral:rRNA from 1 species